rnacentral:rRNA from 1 species
GAUGAACGCUAGCUACAGGCUUAACACAUGCAAGUCGAGGGGCAUCAGGAAGAAAGCUUGCUUUCUUUGCUGGCGACCGGCGCACGGGUGAGUAACACGUAUCCAACCUGCCGAUGACUCGGGGAUAGCCUUUCGAAAGAAAGAUUAAUACCCGAUGGUAUAUCUGAAAGGCAUCUUUCAGCUAUUAAAGAAUUUCGGUCAUUGAUGGGGAUGCGUUCCAUUAGGUUGUUGGCGGGGUAACGGCCCACCAAGCCAUCGAUGGAUAGGGGUUCUGAGAGGAAGGUCCCCCACAUUGGAACUGAGACACGGUCCAAACUCCUACGGGAGGCAGCAGUGAGGAAUAUUGGUCAAUGGACGAGAGUCUGAACCAGCCAAGUAGCGUGAAGGAUGACUGCCCUAUGGGUUGUAAACUUCUUUUAUACGGGAAUAAAGUUAGGCACGUGUGCCUUUUUGUAUGUACCGUAUGAAUAAGGAUCGGCUAACUCCGUGCCAGCAGCCGCGGUAAUACGGAGGAUCCGAGCGUUAUCCGGAUUUAUUGGGUUUAAAGGGAGCGUAGGCGGAUGCUUAAGUCAGUUGUGAAAGUUUGCGGCUCAACCGUAAAAUUGCAGUUGAUACUGGGUGUCUUGAGUACAGUAGAGGCAGG